GCAGUAGCGCGGUGGUCCCACCUGACCCCAUGCCGAACUCAGAAGUGAAACGCCGUAGCGCCGAUGGUAGUGUGGGGUCUCCCCAUGCGAGAGUAGGGAACUGCCAGAC
rnacentral:rRNA from 6 species